rnacentral:rRNA from 1 species
GAUGAACGCUGGCGGCGUGCCUAAUACAUGCAAGUCGAGCGAACAGACGAGGAGCUUGCUCCUCUGACGUUAGCGGCGGACGGGUGAGUAACACGUGGAUAACCUACCUAUAAGACUGUGAUAACUUCGGGAAACCGGAGCUAAUACCGGAGAAUAUAUUGAACCGCAUGGUUCAAUAGUGAAAUACGGUUUUGCUGUCACUUAUAGAUGGAUCCGCGCCGCAUUAGCUAGUUGGUAAGGUAACGGCUUACCAAGGCAACGAUGCGUAGCCGACCUGAGAGGGUGAUCGGCCACACUGGAACUGAGACACGGUCCAGACUCCUACGGGAGGCAGCAGUAGGGAAUCUUCCGCAAUGGGCGAAAGCCUGACGGAGCAACGCCGCGUGAGUGAUGAAGGUCUUCGGAUCGUAAAACUCUGUUAUUAGGGAAGAACAAAUGUGUAAGUAACUAUGCACGUCUUGACGGUACCUAAUCAGAAAGCCACGGCUAACUACGUG